rnacentral:rRNA from 1 species
AUUGAACGCUGGCGGCAUGCCUUACACAUGCAAGUCGAACGGUAACAGGUCUUCGGAUGCUGACGAGUGGCGAACGGGUGAGUAAUACAUCGGAACGUGCCUAGUAGUGGGGGAUAACUACUCGAAAGAGUGGCUAAUACCGCAUGAGAUCUACGGAUGAAAGCAGGGGAUCGCAAGACCUUGUGCUACUAGAGCGGCCGAUGGCAGAUUAGGUAGUUGGUGGGAUAAAAGCUUACCAAGCCGAAGAUCUGUAGCUGGUCUGAGAGGACGAUCAGCCACACUGGGACUGAGAAACGGCCCAGACUCCUACGGGAGGCAGCAGUGGGGAAUUUUGGACAAUGGGCGCAAGCCUGAUCCAGCAAUGCCGCGUGCAGGAUGAAGGCCUUCGGGUUGUAAACUGCUUUUGUACGGAACGAAAAGCCCUGGGUUAAUACCCUGGGGUCAUGACGGUACCGUAAGAAUAAGCACCGGCUAACUACGUGCCAGCAGCCGCGGUAACAC